rnacentral:rRNA from 1 species
AGAGUUUGAUCCUGGCUCAGGAUGAACGCUGGCGGCGUGCCUAACACAUGCAAGUCGAGCGGGAUUUUCCGGACUGAAGCUUCGGCAGAAAGAAGGAAAUGAGAGCGGCGGACGGGUGAGUAACGCGUAGGCAACCUGCCCUUUGCAGAGGGAUAGCCAUUGGAAACGAUGAUUAAAACCUCAUAAUGCCAGGAAGUGACAUCGCUAUCUGGCCAAAGAUUUAUCGGCAAAGGAUGGGCCUGCGUCUGAUUAGCUGGUUGGUGGGGUAACGGCCUACCAAGGCGACGAUCAGUAGCCGACCUGAGAGGGUGAACGGCCACAUUGGAACUGAGACACGGUCCAAACUCCUACGGGAGGCAGCAGUGGGGAAUAUUGCACAAUGGGCGAAAGCCUGAUGCAGCAACGCCGCGUGAAGGAAGAAGGUCUUCGGAUUGUAAACUUCUGUCCUAAGGGAAGAUAAUGACGGUACCUUAGGAGGAAGCCCCGGCUAACUACGUGCCAGCAGCCGCGGUAAUACGUAGGGGGCAAGCGUUAUCCGGAAUUAUUGGGCGUAAAGAGUGCGUAGGUGGUUACCUAAGCAGGGGGUGAAAGGCAAUGGCUCAACCAUUGUUAGCCCCCUGAACUGGGCUACUUGAGUGCAGGAGAGGAAAGCGGAAUUCCUAGUGUAGCGGUGAAAUGCGUAGAUAUUAGGAGGAACACCAGUGGCGAAGGCGGCUUUCUGGACUGUAACUGACACUGAGGCACGAAAGUGUGGGGAGCAAACAGGAUUAGAUACCCUGGUAGUCCACACCGUAAACGAUGAGCACUAGGUGUCGGGGUCGCAAGACUUCGGUGCCCGAAUUAACGCAUUAAG